GCGUGGGUGAAGAAGGUCUUCGGAUUGUAAAGCCCUUUCGGCGGGGACGAUGGUGACGGUACCCGCAGAAGAAGCCCCGGCCAACUUCGUGCCAGCAGCCGCGGUAAUACGAAGGGGGCUAGCGUUGCUCGGAAUCACUGGGCGUAAAGGGCGCGUAGGCGGCGGACUUGGUCGGGCGUGAAAUCCCCGGGCUCAACCCGGGGGCUGCGCCCGAUACGGGUGCGCUGGAGGGCGGGAGAGGCUCGCGGAAUUCCCAGUGUAGAGGUGAAAUUCGU
rnacentral:rRNA from 1 species